GAUGAACGCUGGCGGCGUGCCUAAUACAUGCAAGUCGAGCGAACAGACGAGGAGCUUGCUCCUCUGACGUUAGCGGCGGACGGGUGAGUAACACGUGGAUAACCUACCUAUAAGACUGGGAUAACUUCGGGAAACCGGAGCUAAUACCGGAUAAUAUAUUGAACCGCAUGGUUCAAUAGUGAAAGACGGUUUUGCUGUCACUUAUGGAUGGAUCCGCGCCGCAUUAGCUAGUUGGUAAGGUAACGGCUUACCAAGGCAACGAUGCGUAGCCGACCUGAGAGGGUGAUCGGCCACACUGGAACUGAGACGCGGUCCAGACUCCUACGGGAGGCAGCAGUAGGGAAUCUUCCGCAAUGGGCGGAAGCUUGACGGAGCAACGCCGCGUGGGUGAUGAUGGUCUUCGGAGCGUAAAACUCUGUUAUUAGGGAAGAACAAAUGUGUAAGUAACUAUGCACGUCUUGACGGUACCUAAUCAGAAAGCCACGGCUAACUACGUG
rnacentral:rRNA from 1 species